ensembl:snRNA U1 U1 spliceosomal RNA
GUGCUUAGCUGGCAGGGGAGAGGCCCCGAUGGUGAAGGUGGUUUUCCCAGAGCGAGGUCCGUCCAUUGCAUUCCGGACGUGCUGCCCCCUGCGAUUGCUCCAGGUGUGGGAAACUGCAUACCCUGUGGCGAUGAGCAAUUGCGUUUGCACUCUCC